rnacentral:rRNA from 1 species
GAACGGGUGAGUAACCGUGGGUGAUCUGCCCUGCACUUUGGGAUAAGCCUGGGAAACUGGGUCUAAUACCGAAUAGGACCACGCGCUUCAUGGUGUGUGGUGGAAAGCUUUUGCGGUGUGGGAUGGGCCCGCGGCCUGUCAGCNNNUUGGUGGGGUAAUGGCCUACCAAGGCGACGACGGGUAGCCGGCCUGAGAGGGUGACCGGCCACACUGGGACUGAGAUACGGCCCAGACUCCUACGGGAGGCAGCAGUGGGGAAUAUUGCACAAUGGGCGCAAGCCUGAUGCAGCGACGCCGCGUGAGGGAUGACGGCCUUCGGGUUGUAAACCUCUUUCAAUAGGGACGAAGCGCAAGUGACGGUACCUAUAGAAGAAGCACCGGCCAACUACGUGCCAGCAGCCGCGGUAAUACGUAGGGUGCGAGCGUUGUCCGGAAUUACUGGGCGUAAAGAGCUCGUAGGUGGUUUGUCGCGUUGUUCGUGAAAACUCACAGCUUAACUGUGGGCGUGCGGGCGAUACGGGCAGACUAGAGUACUGCAGGGGAGACUGGAAUUCCUGGUGUAGCGGUGGAAUGCGCAGAUAUCAGGAGGAACACCGGUGGCGAAGGCGGGUCUCUGGGCAGUAACUGACGCUGAGGAGCGAAAGCGUGNGGAGCGAACAGGAUUAGAUACCCUGGUAG